rnacentral:lncRNA from 13 species
AGUCGCGAUUGUUAUUUCAGUAGUAUUUCGGCACAUUUUCGUGGCCAGAGACAAAUGGCUCACGUUAAGUACACGCGUCCACACACACGAAGUGACCGUGUAUGUUUAAGCCUGACGGCCAUCUAAUAUAUUUAACGAAAAUGUAAUAUUGCACUCUUACAAUUUUUACGCGUUAUAUAAUCUGUGACUGUCCUAAAAUACGUCACCUUCAUAAAAGUUACGAUAUUCAUGAGUUGCUCGUUGCUAAAUAUUACCUCAGCCGAGAGAAGCCGAGUCAUCCUCUCCGUUCCUCAAGUUCGUGCAUCAUUUUGCGAGGUGUCAGCCAUUUCUUCAUGUAAUAACAGAAGAUCGUGGAGAUAUAGAUGAGUACCAGAAGAGCGCACGUCACCCCAAGCGCCAGCACCGAGGUUUUCGUUGGACACGGCUCCACGAUGGUCACUGUUUUAUCUGGAAAUAAAAUAUCACGUUUGAUUAGACUAAUUAUACUAAUAUCAAACAAAAACUAUCAAUGUCAAAUUAUAUAUAUUUUAUUUAACAAUCAACAUGUUUUUCAUACCUAUGCAAAAAAUUAUAUUCUUGUUUAUGUAUAAAACAACAAUAAUUUUGCUUGAGAUAUAAUUUAAUCUUCUUAAAAGAAUUUGAUGGCUUUAAAUUUCAGCAAAAUAUUUUUAAUUCAAUAUUAUCAUCGUCAUUUAAAAAGCAUAAUGUUAUUUUCUACCCAAUAUUUUUGUCUCUCAAGUUAUGAAAAUUAUUAUAAAAUAAUGAGAAUAUAUUUUUCUUGAUGAAACAAAAUUUCUUCAAUUACGGAAGUUGUAAGUAUAUCUGUGUAAUCUCAUUUCAAUAUGUAACAUUUUGAAAAUAAAGAUAUUCUCCAAACAAGAAUCUA